GUGGACUGGAAACGAGAUCUGAA
rnacentral:siRNA from 1 species